rnacentral:lncRNA from 1 species
AAAAUUUUCUCCUCCUCUCAUUUUCCUCUGCAGAGAGACCCCCCACGCCGGUGAAGACUCCGGCCAGUCAAAACCGUCGGCCACAACGCACGGUGGCCAGAAAUUAGAAAAGGUAAAUUUUUUUAAUUUUUUUAUUAUGUUUAUAUAUAAAUAUGUAUAUACUAUUUUUUUGAAAAAAAAAGGAAAAAAUAUAUGUAUGUAUAGUCGAAUACCGAAAAUAAAAAAAGAAAAGAGAUGAGACCUUGGCCUUUGGAAUCUGUUUUUUUUUUCUCUUCAAUGCUUGCUGAAUUUUCUUUGUUCUUUUGAGACUAUUAUGUGCUAAAAAUGAGAUUUAUUGUUUUAUUGCUUCCUCCAAAAAAUCUAACCCCUCUACAUGAUUUUUUAAUGGUCUUUUUAUAGCCAUCCUUUUACAACUUGUUUUUUUUUAAAAUCUUUCUAUCACUUCUGUUGCAGGUGGAUGAGGUCAACGGUGGCAGAGUUGGUGGUGGCAGGUGGAGCAGGUGGCUGACAAGGAUAGGGCGGCGGCAUGGCAGAGGCAGUGGCUAGGGUUUUCUUAUUUGUUUUGUGUAUUAAGGUUUUGGGCUGGCUUAGUGGGCUUAGG